UAGCUUGUGAGUAACCUGAAAAGCCAUCCCGGAUCAUUCACAAGAUGAACCGUUUGGAAGGAUACUUGAUUGCAAUGCCUGCACACCUUGUUACGUUUAUUGGCAUCUAUAAUAAUCUGAUUUUCGUAUGAAUGUGGAGUAUUAAAGUGUUUAUAGUUUUGUAUGCUUAAUUUUAGUCCGUAUAAUUCUAGCUAGCACAAAAAUAAAGCCAAAAAAUAUUUGAAAAGAUCCGCGUCGACUUUAAACGAUUAAUUAGACAGAAAAUAUCAAAAUCGUUGAUUUUUAUA